UACGAGGGGGGCGAGCGUUGUUCGGAUUCAUUGGGCGUAAAGGGUGCGUAGGCGGCGCGGUAAGUCGGGUGUGAAAUCUUGGAGCUUAACUCCGAAACUGCAUUCGAUACUGCCGUGCUUGAGGACUGGAGAGGAGACUGGAAUUUACGGUGUAGCGGUGAAAUGCGUAGAUAUCGUAAGGAAGACCAGUGGCGAAGGCGGGUCUCUGGACAGUUCCUGACACUGAGGCACGAAGGCCAGGGGAGCAAACGGG
rnacentral:rRNA from 1 species